rnacentral:rRNA from 1 species
AACGUAGGAGACAAACGUUAUCCGGAGUUACUGGGCGUAAAGGGCGUGUAGGUGGUUAUGUAAGUCUGGCGUGAAAUUUUUCGGCUUAACCGGGAAAGGUCGUCGGAUACUGCAAAACUAGAGGACGGUAGAGGCGUGUGGAAUUCCGGGUGUAGUGGUGAAAUGCGUAGAGAUCCGGAGGAACACCGGUGGCGAAGGCGACACGCUGGGCCGUACCUGACGCUGAUGCGCGACAGCAUGGGGAGCAAACAGG